GACGAACGCUGGCGGCGUGCCUAAUACAUGCAAGUCGAGCGGACCAAAGGGAGCUUGCUCCUGGAGGUUAGCGGCGAACGGGUGAGUAACACGUGGGCAACCUGCCUGUAAGACUGGGAUAACAUCGAGAAAUCGGUGCUAAUACCGGAUAAUAAAAAGAACUGCAUGGUUCUUUUUGAAAGAUGGUUUCGGCUAUCACUUACAGAUGGGCCCGCGGCGCAUUAGCUAGUUGGUGAGGUAACGGCUCACCAAGGCGACGAUGCGUAGCCGACCUGAGAGGGUGAUCGGCCACACUGGGACUGAGACACGGCCCAGACUCCUACGGGAGGCAGCAGUAGGGAAUCUUCCGCAAUGGACGAAAGUCUGACGGAGCAACGCCGCGUGAGUGAUGAAGGUUUUCGGAUCGUAAAACUCUGUUGUUAGGGGAGAACAAGUGCCGUUCGAAAGGGCGGCACCUUGACGGUACCUAACGAGAAAGCCACGGCUAACUACGUGCCAGCAGCCGCGGUAAAGUA
rnacentral:rRNA from 1 species